rnacentral:lncRNA from 1 species
AUGAAGCUGAGUAUCUCCUCAACCACCAGCUGUCAGAAACUCACUGAAAUGGACAGUGAGUGCAAGUGUCACACUUUCCAUGAGAAGCCUGUGACCACCGUAGUACUGAUGCUCUGGAUGAAGAGUAGAAGGGUCAUGGGGUCCAAAUCCGUGGUGGAAAUGACAAAUAUGGUUUUCCUAUGAAGCAAGGUGUCUUGAGCCAUGGCAGAGUGUACCUGCUGUUGAGUAAGGGACAUUCUUGUUAUAGACCAAGGAGAGCUGAAGAGAGGAAGCACAAGUCUGUUUCAGGUAUGUUGUGGACGCCAAUGUGGGUGUUCUCAACAUUUUUAUUGUAAAAAUGGAGAGAAGAGUAUUCCUGGACGGACAGAUACUACUACGCCUCAUUGGUCGGGGCCAAAGAAUCUAAAAUCUUUUCAAUCUCUCUAUAGAAGAUGAUGCCCAUCAAUAUGUCAGAAAGUCUGUAAGCAAAGAUAACGAGAAGCCCAGGACCAAAGCCCCAAGACUGAGUGUCUCUUGUUACUCACAUGUGCUGCAACACAAAUGUCUACAUAUCGAAGACAAACAGGGAGGAGGCAGCAGAAUGUGCAAAACUUUUGUCCUAGAGAAUGAAGGAAGCCAAAGCAAAACAGCAGGGAAGGAUUGCCAAGAGAUGGAGGCUGUCCUUGCUGAGAACGUCUAUGUCUAUGUCAAAAACAAGU